UCCAUUAUUUCUACGCCACCUUUCCUUCUUCUCCUCUCUUCUAUCUUUGUUUUGGUGGAGAUGGCUGCCAAAGGAGCAACGAGCUCGGGAGGGGCCAAAGAUGGGACGUCCGAUUCAUCCUCCUCUUCCAAGAAGAAUUCCAAGAAACCCAAAUAUUCUAGGUUUACGCAGCAAGAGCUUCCUGCGUGCAAACCAAUUUUAACACCAGGAUGGGUCAUUACAACUUUUAUUGUUGUUGGCAUUAUCUUCAUUCCCAUUGGCUUUGCUUCCUUAUUUGCAUCAGAAUGGGUUGUGGAAAUUGUGGAUCGCUAUGAUGAGGAUUGCGUCCCUCAUAAUUAUACGUACAAUAAGCUUGCAUAUAUUCAAAAUAGUGAAACUAACAAGACAUGCAUGAAGAGAUUGAUUGUUCCAAAGCAAAUGAAAAGUCCUGUCUAUAUCUAUUAUCAACUUGAUAACUUCUAUCAGAAUCAUCGUAGAUAUGUUAAGAGUAGAAGCGAUAAACAAUUGCGGAGCAGGGCUAGUGAGCGUGAUACAAGUUCCUGCAAACCUGAAGCCGUCAGGGGAAAUAAUUAUCCCAUUGUUCCUUGUGGCCUCAUUGCUUGGAGUUUAUUUAAUGACACAUAUGGAUUUUCAGUAAAAAACAAGGCGCUGGAGGUCAGCAAAAAGAACAUAGCAUGGAAAAGUGACCGGGAGCAUAAAUUUGGCUCUGAUGUUUAUCCAAAAAAUUUUCAGAGUGGAGGUUUGAUUGGGGGUGCCAAACUAAAUGCGAGCAUACCUUUGAGUGAACAAGAGGAUCUUAUUGUUUGGAUGCGAACUGCGGCCCUGCCAACUUUCAGAAAACUAUAUGGGAAAAUAGAGACAGAUCUUGAAGCUAAUGAUGAAAUAACUGUAGUAAUACAGAACAAUUACAACAUCUACAGUUUUGGUGGCAAGAAGAGUCUGGUUCUUUCAACCACAAGCUGGAUUGGCGGCAAAAAUGAUUUCCUGGGUGUAGCAUAUCUUACUGUUGGUGGACUGUGCUUGUUCUUAGCAAUUAGCUUCAUAUUUUUGUACGUGAUCAUGCCAAGGCCUCUUGGGGAUCCAUCCUAUUUGUCUUGGAACAGAGGACAGGUGAAUUAAACCUUUUAAGAUAUGCCCUGCCUCUCAUGUGCAAAUUUUUGUGUCACAUUCUUAUCAGGCUGAGCCUUAUUUAUGUUCUGAAGCAUUAUAACUUAAAUGUAUAGUACAUAGAGCUCUGCUGCUAUCAAUAAUCUUCUUUUCUAAGAAGCAGGGGCCAUUGUUCAAAUUUGGUGCUCGGUUCAUUUUGGUUGUAACCCCUUAUAUUUUUCACAGAACAAGUGAGACUUACAGGCUCUCCUGCAAUGCAUAUAGUUUGUGGAUGAUUGAUAGACAUUCUUCAGCUCUUUAAUUUGCUAAAAUAUGUUGUUGUGUAAUUUCCUGUAUGAAAUAAAGCUUCCAUAAGAUCUGCUAAUACCUAUUGAUGUUGAGAGACCGUGAAGAUGGGGUUCGAAAGGAAAAAUUUAUAUACAAAUACGUGAGGGAAACAAAUAAACUUCUCAAGUUUUGCAGUCAGUCGAGAAAAAGAAGAAUGGCAUUGGGAAAGUACUUGCCAAGAGUUGAGUUGUGAAUUCUUAUAUUGCAUGAUCUCCAUAAGCUUUGGUUUGUGAGAAAAGCAGAAUAAGAGCGAUCUUCAAAACAAGGGUCAUGCAUGCAUGCAUGGUCAACAUUUGGUCAAAGACUGUCAGGCACUCAUUCGUUCUAAUGAAGGAAAUC